rnacentral:rRNA from 1 species
UCGGGAAUUUUGGGGCUAAUGGGCGAAAGCCUGACCCAGCAACGCCGCGUGAAGGAUGAAGUAUUUCGGUAUGUAAACUUCGUAAGAAUAGGAAGAAUAAAAUGACGGUACUAUUUAUAAGGUCCGGCUAACUACGUGCCAGCAGCCGCGGUAAUACGUAGGGACCAAGCGUUGUUCGGAUUUACUGGGCGUAAAGGGCGCGUAGGCGGCAAUUCAAGUCAUCUGUGAAAUCUCCGGGCUUAACUCGGAACGGUCAGAUGAUACUGCUUUGCUAGAGUGCAGAAGGGGCAAUCGGAAUUCUUGGUGUAGCGGUGAAAUGCGUAGAUAUCAAGAGGAACACCUGAGGUGAAGACGGGUUGCUGGGCUGACACUGACGCUGAGGCGC